GUGAGGAAUAUUGGACAAUGGGCGCAAGCCUGAUCCAGCCAUGCCGCGUGCAGGAAGACGCAUCUAUGGUGUGUAAACUGCUUUUGUACGGGAAGAAACACUCCCUCGUGAGGGAGCUUGACGGUACCGUAAGAAUAAGGAUCGGCUAACUCCAUGCCAGCAGCCGCGGUAAUACGGAGGAUCCAAGCGUUAUCCGGAAUCAUUGGGUUUAAAGGGUCCGUAGGCGGUUUAAUAAGUCAGUGGUGAAAGCCCAUCGCUCAACGAUGGAACGGCCAUUGAUACUGUUAGACUUGAAUUACAAGGAAGUAACUAGAAUAUGUAGUGUAGCGGUGAAAUGCUUAGAUAUUACAUGGAAUACCAAUUGCGAAGGCAGGUUACUACUUGUGGAUUGACGCUGAUGGACGAAAGCGUGGGGAGCGAACAGGAUUAGAAACCCGAGUAGUCC
rnacentral:rRNA from 1 species